CCUUGCUGAAUUAUUCACCCUUGUCUUUUGCGUACUUCUUGUUUCCUUGGUGGGUUCGCCCACCACUAGGACAAACAUAAACCUUUUGUAAUUGCAAUCAGCGUCUGUAACAAAUUAAUAAUUACCACUUUCAACAACGGAUCUCUUGGUUCUGGCAUCGAUGAAGAACGCAGCGAAAUGCGAUAAGUAGUGUGAAUUGCAGAAUUCAGUGAAUCAUCUAAUCUUUGAACGCACAUUGCGCCCUUUGGUAUUCCAAAGGGCAUGCCUGUUCGAGCGUCAUUUGUACCCUCAAGCUUUGCUUGGUGUUGGGCGUCUUGUCUCUAGCUUUGCUGGAGACUCGCCUUAAAGUAAUUGACAACCGGCCUACUGGUUUCGGAGCGCAGCACAAGUCGCACUCUCUAUCAUCAAAGGUCUAACAUCCAUUAAGCCUUUUUUUCACUUUUUAACCCGGCGAGUGAAGCGGCAACAGCUCAAAUUUGAAAUCUGGCUCUUUUAGAGUCCGAGUUGUAAUUUGCAGAGGGCGCUUUGGCUUUGGCAGCGGUCCAAGUUCCUUGGAACAGGACGUCACAGAGGGUGAGAAUCCCGUACGUGGUCGCUGGCUAUUGCCGUGUAAAGCCCCUUCGACGAGUCGAGUUGUUUGGGAAUGCAGCUCUAAAUGGGAGGUACAUUUCUUCUAAAGCUAAAUAUUGGCCAGAGACCGAUAGCGCACAAGUAGAGUGAUCGAAAGAUGAAAAGCACUUUGGAAAGAGAGUCAAACAGCACGUGAAAUUGUUGAAAGGGAAGCGCUUGCAGCCAGACUUGCUUACAGUUGCUCAUCCGGGUUUCUACCCGGUGCACUCUUCUGUAGGCAGGCCAGCAUCAGUUUGGGCGGUAGGAUAAAGGUCUCUGUCACGUACCUCCUUUCGGGGAGGCCUUAUAGGGGAGACGACAUACUACCAGCCUGGACUGAGGUCCGCGCAUCUGCUAGGAUGCUGGCGUAAUGGCUGUAAGCGGCCCGUCUUGAAACACGGACCAAGGAGUCUAACAUCUAUGCGAGUGUUUGGGUGUCAAGCCCGAGCGCGUAAUGAAAGUGAACGGAGGUGGGAACCCGCAAGGGUGCACCAUCGACCGAUCCUGAUGUCUUCGGAAGGAUUUGAGUAAGAGCAUG
rnacentral:sRNA from 1 species